rnacentral:rRNA from 1 species
AGAGUUUGAUCAUGGCUCAGGAUGAACGCUAGCUACAGGCUUAACACAUGCAAGUCGAACGAGAGAGAAGGAGCUUGCUUCUUCGAUCGAGUGGCGAACGGGUGAGUAACGCGUGAGGAACCUGCCUCAAAGAGGGGGACAACAGUUGGAAACGACUGCUAAUACCGCAUAAGCCCACGGGUCGGCAUCGAUCUGAGGGAAAAGGAGCAAUCCGCUUUGAGAUGGCCUCGCGUCCGAUUAGCUAGUUGGUGAGGUAACGGCCCACCAAGGCGACGAUCGGUAGCCGGACUGAGAGGUUGAACGGCCCACAUUGGGACUGAGACACGGCCCAGACUCCUACGGGAGGCAGCA